rnacentral:rRNA from 1 species
UCCGGCUGAUCCUGCCAGAGGUUACUGCUAUCGGUGUUCGACUAAGCCAUGCAAGUCAUAUGUUCUUCGUGAACAUGGCGUACUGCUCAGUAACACGUGGAUAACCUGCCCUUGGGUCCGGCAUAACCCCGGGAAACUGGGGAUAAUUCCGGAUAACGCAUAUAUGCUGGAAUGCUUUAUGCGUCAAAUGGAUUCGUCUGCCCAAGGAUGGGUCUGCGGCCUAUCAGGUAGUAGUGGGUGUAAUGUACCUACUAGCCUACGACGGGUACGGGUUGUGAGAGCAAGAGCCCGGAGAUGGAUUCUGAGACACGAACCCAGGCCCUACGGGGUGCAGCAGGCGCGAAAACUUUACAAUGCUGGCAACAGCGAUAAGGGAACCUCGAGUGCCAGGUUACAAAUCUGGCUGUCGAGAUGCCUAAAAAGCAUUUCAUAGCAAGGGCCGGGCAAGACUGGUGCCAGCCGCCGCGGUAACA